ACAGCUCACGGCAAUGCCGGAUCCUUAACCCACUGAGCAAGUCCAGGGAUCGAACCCGCAACUUCAUGGUUCCUAGUCGGAUUCGUUAACCACUGCGCCACAACGGGAACUCCACUACUGCUUUAGUCUUAACCUGACACCUAAUGUCCUCCUCAAUCAAACUCUAAAUGACUUUCCAGCCUAAUUUACAACUAGCUAGCGACAGACAACCCACUUUUUACCCAAACAGACUACUAGUUUCUCCUGUGGAACUCAAAUCGUCCACCACUCCUCCAAGCCUUCACUCCACCACUGCCUUUCCUGGACCAUUCUGCACUCAUCUUCCCAUGUUGAAUUCUAUGCCUAAAUUUUAAAUGCUAGCUCGAAUUUCAAGUUUUCCUUUUUCUGAAAGUCUGUGAACUUGAUUUCAUAAAUCUUUUUGGCAUGUAUUACAAUACCUACUUGAUUUUGUUAUUUGUAUUCACACCCUAUAUGCCCUUACGUGACCUCAAAGAGUUUUAGACUCCUUGAAGGCAAAAGCGAUGCUCUAAACAAUUUCCUAUCUUCUGUAGUAGCUGACAUAGUACCUUAUCUAUAGAAAGCAAGGGGGAGACAUUUGUUCCAUGGACAAAUCUGUUUCCCCAUGGUCUUGCCCUGAACAGUCCUGUCAAAAAGAAAAAAAAAAAAAAAUGUAUAGUCAGGUUUCUAUGUGUAUUCAUGUAAAGGAGAUCAAGAGAAAAGAAACGGUGGAACUGUGAAAAUGAGGGGCAAAUAAAAAUAACCAUAAUUUCUUAAUUAUUCAGUAAUAUCCAAGAAGGUAAACUGUGCAAGUCAUAGUCUUUCUUCACUCUUUGUAUUCAGUUCACUUUUUUUGCAACUUAAUUUUGACGAAUUCAUACAGGAGACAUUAACUCAUUAAAGUUUUCAGUAUCCCUGGAGGUCAGAAGGGCUGCUGUGUUCACUCUGUAGAUGGGGAAACUGAGAUCAUCAGUGACUUAAACAAGGACGCAUGGCAUAGAAAUGAGGCAUAAACCUCCAGGUGCCGUUUAUAGGAUUUGGAUUCCCAGCUUGCAACUCUUCACCUUUUGUCUCUCUCCCCAAAGUUAUGAUCUUUUGGAGGGACAUAGGAAAAUCGGUUUGUUUCCCACCAUCGUGAGUAUUAUAACAGCCCCUUCAAAGCCCCCUUGACACAUUCAGUAGCAUCAACAUUCAAGAACAUUCAGUCUUCUUUGGUACUUGCCGAUUGAUAGCAUAAUGUACACACAGAGGUGCCGCUUUAACACAGAAAGCCCACAGCACUGUACUCAGCAGAUCCCACCAAAAACCCAUGGGGGCAGGUGGCAUGAAUAGCAAGGUACCACCAGGCUAAUGUUACGUGCUCAGGAGAUGCACAUUUUCCUUUAAUCCCUUUUUGCUGGCUUCCUCAUUUUGCCUGUGGAGGAGUGGCUGUUGCAUCCGUGUUCUAUCCAUGUAAUGUUGAACCGUGAGCAUCACUUGGUUUUUGCCAAGCAGAACUUACAGCUGAUGACAAGCUGUUGCUGAGAAAAUGAAAAAUUUUCUGAAUUCAGUUCUGCAUGGAAACAGUUGACCAAUUGCCAUUGCUGUAAUACGGCUCUUUUGCUCUUGGUUGAUUUUGAGUAAUAGCUUCACUUCUGCAGAAAGGAGAUUUUAUUUGAAGUCCAUUCAGAGAUUUGGUUCAACAAACCAGACUACAGGUCUCAGAAAAUCUUUUUUGAACCUUCCAAUAAUAGACUUUCUCAUCUGUUAUUCCUGGAACACUUUAUCCUUCACAGCCGAGCAUAUGGAUGGCUUUGUUGUUCACUGUGUUCUGUUUGCCUUUAUGACCUACCUUUUCAGUACAAAUAGAAUAAAAUCUUUUUCAUUUUUGCAUUAAUUGCUUGAAUUCCCACUUUCCCUCAUCAGCAGGAAGUCCAGUAUCUUCUUGAGAACUUCCUUUUCUCAAUCCAGGAACUUACUUGGUCUGUAAGUUGUCGGUCUUAUUUCUAAAUAAUAAGGGGGGAAACAAAUUAUAGCUGUUGUCAUCAGGUCUGUCUCCUUUUUCAAAACCGGUCCUAUGUAGACCUGUGGACCCUUGUCCACUGGAUGGUGGUACACUAGCCAGGCUAGGUUCCUGUGCAGGUGGCAGUCGUGCCCCAGGUUUAACUUAAAAGUUACAGUAGGCAUGAUAUCAAAAUAUUUGGUAAGGCACAAGUACUAAAUAAUCAAGCUUGAAUGAUUGGUAGAGCGGUAGAGAAUAACAACUGGUUAUUAGUCCUGGGUAACCGUUCUUUUCAGUUCCCUGCACAUGCCAGCCCCUUUUCCCCCAAGAAACCCCCUCCAUGCUGAAGUGGCUGAACCUGGAGGAGCUGCCAGCCUGGACCACCUGCUGUAUCAGAACCAGCCCACCUCCAGAGCUGUGAAAGAGCUGAAUUACCAUUCUUGGCAACUUCUUUCUUCAAGGCAGAUCUGACAGCUCAUGUCCAAAUGGCACGUACACCCUUGGUGGUAUGCUGGAUCUCUUCGUUCACCAAGUACCGUGUGCCGUGCCCUGUGUUAGGGGCUGGGGAUGUGGAAAUGACUGAUACAGUCGUAGGUCUCAGCGUUGAAUAGAUGACCUCGUAGAAUGAGGGCCUUGAUAGAGAUGAAGCUUGGGAGCCACGGAGAUGCACAGAAGGUGGUGGGACAAGGCUGUCCAGACAGGUUUCCAGGGAGGCAACCCUGGGCUAGAUUGUAAAGGGGGGCUCAGGGCUGUGUUGAGGAGAAGUGGGUAGAGGAUGUCCACACUCAAGGUCAUAGCAAGAGCAGAGAGAGGGAGGGGGUGGUACCCAGGAAACUGCCCAGGGGCCAGUGAGGGACUUGCAAGGUGGAAAGGCCAAAGAUGAAGACUGGGCCGCAGUGAGAACACACAGGGCUCCAGAGUGAGGAAGUGGGAGUCCAGGAGGGAGGAGAGAGGAUCAAAAAUAGGAUUUCAAUCUUAGAGAACAUAAAGUUUUCAUGCUUAUAGGAACCAUCAAAGACCAGUCUCCUUCAGCCACCUCAAUUUACAGACAAAUAAAUAAAGCCCAGAAAGCUUAGCUGGUUUGCUCAAGGCACAUAGAUAAACUAGGACUAAAGAUUAAUGUCCCAGCUUCUGUUUCCUGAGUGAAGAAAACUAAGACCCAGCAAAGGAGAGUGACUCGCUCCAGUCACCCAAUCUACUGGGUUCCUAGCCUGGUGCUCUUUCCUCCACCCUCCCAGAAAAUCCGUAUGUUGAAAGCAAAUCCUCGGUGUGCUGGCAUCUGGGGGUGGGACCUUUGGGAGUGAUGAGGUCAGAGGGCACAGCCCUUGUUAGUGGGAUUGGUGCCCUUACGAGCAAGACCCUAGAGCACUCCCUCAUCCCUUUCCGCCCCAGGAGGACCCAAUGAAAAGACAGUUUAUGAACCAGGGAAUGGAGCAGACACCAAAUCUACAGGCGCCUUGAUCUUAGACGUCUCAGCCUCCAGAACUGUGAGAAAUAAAUUUUCUGUUCUUAUAAGCCACCUAGUUUACAGUAUUCUGUCAUAGGAGCGCAAACAGAAUAACGGAAUCACAGAGGUGAAGCAGCUCUGAGAAAUCAUGAGACAGCACCACAGCCGUGUCUGUGAUGUGACUGACAGGAGGCCAAGAUAAAGGUGCUGAACAGUGAAGAGUCUGACGAACUGUGAGUCCAGGUGUGGGGGACAUGAUUAGCCAUGAUGUUGGAAAGUCUUCCAGAAUAGGAGCAGAGAAAAAGACCAGGCACGAGGCUCUAGAAUCAUCCAGGAAGAUGAGAUAGGGUUCCAGAGGCCAAAGAGAAUGGGGAAAGGGUGGAAUAUGCAGACCAUGAAGGCUGCCUAAGUAAGGGCAGUCGUAAUUGCAAAACAGAGGUGGAAGGAGAGCUUGAAAGGGGUGGCGGGAAGCUGGGCCCUCUCAGGUUUCCCAAAGAGAUACCGGCAAAAUGGCCAUAGAGAGGACCGAGGAAUCACAGACAGGGAGAAGGUAGAGUUUCUCAGGACACAGAGUUUGAGAUUAGAGGCUCUAACUAGGAGAGCAUGGGGAAAGGUGCCACUGAGCCCAAGAGGAAGGAGAAUAUGGCUGGAGGUGCCGGGGGCUGAGGUUUGAGGAUAGGUUGGUGCUUUCCCAAAUGCGGAGUAGGGGAGGGCCAGAUUUGGGGAGGCCUUGGAUGCCUGUGCUUAUGAUGAGUGUGACGAGAUACUUAUGUGUCAGUUACUGGGCUAAGAGCCUGAGACACUUGUCUGUUAACCCUCGCCAGAUCCCUCUGAGACACGCAGAGUUGCCCUCAUUUCUCAGAUGAGGAAAUUGAAGCACAGAGAAGUUAAAUAACUUACCCAGUGUCCCAUAGCUUGUGAGCGGUAAAGCCAGGAUUUGAAUUCCGUCGGAUUCCAGAGUCCAAGCUUGUGACAGGUAUGCUUUGCAUCCUCCAUAAAAGCUGUUAGCACAAGAACUGAGGUGGUGGCAGCUGCCCGCUCCAGGUGACAGUAGGUUUUACUUACCACUUAGGGCUUGAAAGGAUAAUGUGGGUUUGUAUCCAGUCUCUGCUAUGGGUGGCUUAGUGAUAGGAUAACCUUCUUAACCUUACUGAACUGACCUUUGCUUUCUGUAGAGAUGCUGUAAUGAAAGUAAUAAUCAAGGAACCAAUUUCAGGGGAGCACCUGGAGUGUUUCUGUUAAAACAUAGUCACAUCCUGUCAUUGCUCAAAACCAUCCAGUAGCUUCUCAACUCAGCGUGAAAACUGGUCUUUACCAUGGCCUGCGAGACCCUAGACUAGCUGGUCUUUGACCUCAGUUGCUGUUUCUAGCUCCCUCCCUUUCUUGCUCCAGCACCUUUGGGCCUCCCUGCUCUUCCCUAAAGACACCAGGACCUCUCUUGGCCUAGGACAUUUCCCCCCCAGGUAUCUUAUUCAUUCUCCUGCUCCCCAAUUCAUUAAUCAAACUUCUCAGCCAAGUCUUCUCUCUCUCCCCUGCAUAAAAUUAUUCUCUAUUCCCUUAUCUGCCACUCCAGUUAUCUUUUGCCAUGUAACAAAUGUAGUGAGUUAUCUAAAAUUAUCUCCCCCCAAAUUUAGUGAGUUAAAAUGUCAGCAGACAUUUUAUUCUCAUAGUUUCUGAAGAUCAGUAAUUCUGGAAACUCUCAGCUGAGAGGUUCUGGUUUCUGGUUGUCUUAUAUGGUUGCAGUCAGAUGGUGGCUAGAACUGGAGUGAAGCGAGGUUUAAGUAUCUGGGGCCAUCUGCAUCUCUCUGUUUCUUUCCAUAUAGUCUGGAGCCCCUCAUGCGGUCUCUUCAUGUGGGCUAGUUUGAGCAGCCUCAAAGUAUGGUGAUCUCAGAGCAGCGGGCUGUUUAUAUGGUAGCUGAGUCUUUGUAAAUUAGCUUUCUAGCAAGUAAGGUGGGAGCUGCAUUGUCUCACAGGAUCUAGCCUUGGAAUUCAUGUAACAUCACUGCCACAUAUUCUGUUGGUUGAAACUUCAAAAAACUCCAUUCAGUUUCAUGGGGAGGAAACAAAGAACCCAUUUCUAUAUUGGAGAAAUGUCAAAGUCACAUUGUAAUAAGAGCCUGUGGGGUAAGAGAUAAUGUUGCCAACACAUGUGAGCAGUUCAACUGGCCACACUUCCUUUCCUUUCUCCUUCUCACCUCACACGAGAUUUAAUUGACUUCUUUAUCUUCUGUGCUGCCUGUCUUCCUGCACUAAAAUGCCAGUCUGUUUUGCUCACUGCUCUAUUCCCAGAGCCAAGAAUGGAGCCUGGCACAUAGGUUUUAAUAAGUGCUUAUUAAAUGAAUGAAUGAAUGAAUGAAUGAUGUCGUCUGCUAGUCCUAACUAUAGGUCUCUAAAUUAGACAUUAGUAUAACCAUUUUUCAGAUGAGGGAGAUGAAGCUCAGGAAGGUUUGGUAACUUCUGCAGGAUCACACAGCUACAAAAGGGGAAAACCGGCAUUUAAAUAAUGUCUUGCUUUUUUCCACUAUUCCAGACUGGCCAUCAUAGCUGCAGCUAUUUGGAUUCCCUCCACCCUCUACCCCAACCCCUGCAGGAGACGCACACUGCUACAACCUGAUACCAAAAUUCAGUUUAUCCCCACUUGGUUGCACUCAAGCUGAGAGCAAAGCAAUUGUACUUUCAACCCCUUAGAGCAGAUUUUUCUGAAGCAUGUUUCAGGGAUAACCACCACAUUUUGCGUUCAAACCGUACAUCUGGUUUGCUGCAAAAAAGACAAUUAAAUGAAAGGUUAGGCAGCGUUUUAAAUGGCCAGUUCAAACUUUUGGCUUAUUUUUUGCCUUGCUGUCUUUAUAGGCAUUUUACCAGUAUCUAUCACUAUUUCCCUUAGGGAGCCCCCAGAUCCGUGAUAUUUCAAAUAAUAAAGCCUCUCCAUUGGCUCUUUAAAAGAUUCAUGGUAAAACGGACCAUUAACAUUCACAGUUCCUCAUUUACGAGGCCAGAUUGCACUUAUUUCCAUAUUCCUCACUGUUUCUUCAGCGAGGAUUUCACAUAAUAGUGUUUGAAGGCUAACGACUUCAAAGCAAAUUCUUUACCAUUUUUAUCUUGAAAAAUAUUCAACAUUUGUAUAAUUAAAGUUAAGUCUUCCUAGAGAAAAUGACAACUCAAAUAAUCGUAAAUGUACCUCCAAGAAAGAAGCUGUCAGAAUGACAUUCAGCUGCAUACUCACAUUCUCUGAGGCCUUUGCUUCUCCCCCUGAUUUCUUGUAAUCUUUGAAGGUUAUGUCAUGGGUGACUUGAGAUCACUUUUUAAAUUAUUAUGACCUCGUUUCAGUAUGAGCUCUGAGGGUGAGGGGUUCUGUCUUCCCUUGGUUCCAGAUUUUUGCUGUUGUGUGGUUACCAGGCAGUUCAAAGAAAAGCCAACCCCCCGCCCCCAAGUCUUUCUUGAUCCUAAUUGUCCCACUAGCUACCAUCCUAUUUCUCUUUUCCUUGGAACUAAAAGUUUUUUCGCAAGUUUGUGUGCACUCUGUCUCCAUUUUAUCUCCUAAAUUUUGUUCAUAUAAUUUUUGUUUUUACAAUGUUAUGUUUCAAGCAUACAGCAAAGUGAUUCAGUUAUGCAUGUUCAUAUAUCCCUUUUCAGAUUCUUUUCCCAUAUGUUGUUACAGAAUACUGAGUAGAGUUCCCCGUGUCAUCUCCUAAAUUAUAUAGCAAAGAUUUGCCAAUGACCUCCAACCGCACUGGCAAAUUUAAGGGGAUUUUCAAGUUCUCUGUUUAAUUGACUGUCCCCUGCCUACCUCUCCAGUUUUUGCUUCAUGCUUCUCACUCACUCUCCUCAACGCUCAAGCAUCCCUUCAUCCAGGAUGUCUUCAGAUUAAUUGGACAGUUAGUAUCGUAAUUCAUGCAUUCUUGUACGUGGGCUUGCUAAGAUACUGAUGGAGAAGAGGUAGAACCCAGACGUGGGUCAGCCCAGAGCUAGGGAAAUUAACCCGUCUCCAGGUAGGGGGAACCUGGCAGCUUAACACUUGGUAUUCAAAAGGGCUCAGAAAACUUGUGCUGGACCUGGGCCAAUACUAGUUCUUGGGGUCCAAUUUAGUCAGUGUUCAGUAGGGGUGUCCAGGCAAUACCUAUAUUCAUUCAGUGAAAAUGUACCAUGUGUCAGUUCUGUGUUAGGCAUUGUACUAGGCACAGGGGAUACUAAGAUAGGUAAACACAGUAGCUUUCCCUUAGUUGCUCACUAGGGAAGUAAAGAGACAGAAAAAUGCAUAGACAACUGCAAAAAAAAUAUGUAUACAUAGAAAAGUACAGUUCAGCAAUGGUGUUCAUCUCGCUGCCAUGGAGGUAAAUAUUAUUCACUUUUUUUAAUCAGUUGCUCAUUUGAGGGUUUCCUAUCAGAGUUAUUAGAUGUGAUAGUCAUUGCUUUUCACAGGUAAACACAUGAAUAAAUAAAUGCAUUGGUGUUUGUAUAAACAGUUAUGAAAAGCUGGUAGAAUCCCGGGAACUCUUAAAAUUUUGCCACAUUACUUCCUCUAAGACCGUUUACCUCGCACAUUUCUUUACCCACACAAACACAACUGUUUUCUUCACUAUUUAGUCUUUUUAAACCUCACAUCUUUCAAUCAUCUCUCUCUCUCUCUAUCUCUCUCUCUCAUUUUUGGAGGUGGGGGCACACAGGUGUGGCAUAGGAAGUUCCCAGGCUAGGGGUCCAAUCAGAGGUAUAGCUGCUGGCCACAGCCACAGCCACAGCAACACCAGAUCCGAGCCGCAUCUGUGAGCUACAUCAGUUUGCAGCAAUGCCAGAUCCUUAACCCACAGAGCAAGGCCAGGGAUUGAACCCGCAGCCUUGUGGAUACUAGUCGGUUUCAUUUCCUCUAAGCUACCGUGGGAAUUCCUCCAUCAUCUCUUAAUUAUUCAUUUCCAUUCAUUAACUCUCCUGUCCAGAAUAAGAUAAAAAUGGUAGGAUGUCUGACUAGGGAGAGUAGAUUUUUGAUAGGCAGAAUUCAGAAGUUGAAGGAAAUAGUUAAGAGAGAUAUGAUGAACAACAACAAAAAAAUAAUAAUUUUAUGGUAUAACAACUUCUAGCCAUAUAUUAUAAAAAAAUAUGGCAUCAAGAGACGUGUUUGAAAAAGAAAUGAAAACUGUAAUAAAAAACUUAGAAAAUAACAAGAACAGUCAAUUUAUGGGAUGUGGUCAAAGCUGUGCUUAUUGUCAAAUGCAUAAUCUUAAAUGCUUUUAUAAUUUAAAGCAUAGGUGUCAGGAUUAGUUAGACCUGGAUUCAAAUCCCAGUAAUGUCACCAAAUGACAAAUGACUUUGCCUCUCUCAGCCUUUUUCUCCAUGUGUAAGACAGAAUAAUAAUGGCUUGCACUUACAAAGUGUCAAGAAUAGUGUCUAAUAUGAAAUAGUACUUACCAAGUAGCUGCUGUUGAAGAGUUAUUUAAGCGUUAUGGUUUUAUACAAUUAUUAAGUAAAAUUUUGAAAACUAAAACAUGUAAACAUUCUUAAUGGCUCAAAAACCUUGCAGUGAUGUGUCAUACCAGUCUUCAUCCAAGAAAUUCAUCUUUGUUCAUUUAUUUUGACUUGAUAUGAGUGCUUCUGGCAGUUCUUAAGCCCUCACCAAUUUUAUAUCAUAAGAUGUGAUAAACAGAUUAUUUGCUAAAAUAAUAUUCUUGCUUCCUUUUUUGGGAAUUUCCUCCAUAGAAACAGUUUGUACACAGCAAUAUUAAGCAUCAGAUCUGAUUGGCAACAAUUUCAGAUGCUUCAAAAGGCUUUUAAGAUGAGAAGGGUCCAUUUGGGUUAUCUGGAUUCUGAAACUGAAACUGCUCUGUUCUGUUUUUCUGGCUUCUGGGAGAGGAGGAGAUAUGAAUUCAAUUAGCACCUUGGUGUUUUCUUUAUCCUUCAUUUCAAUACGAGAGAUGGUUCACAUGCAUGGUGGUAUCAGGUUACAUCAAAAGGGGGGAACAGUUUCUUGGUUUUUCAUUUUCUACCAAAAAGGAAAGACACCCAUUUUGUUCUGCUCUAAUUAGUAUGAGAGCCAGUGCAUGACUUUUUGAGAACAGGCAGAUGCUUUGAAGGCGGUAUAACACAGGUCUUCAUUAAUCUCCAUGCAGGAUUUCUGGUUUAAACUGUCGAGGCCUAAGGUAAUGGCUCAGGAAGAGGACCGAGCACAGAGCUCUAACCAACCCAAGCCAGGUUUUAUAAAGAACAAGUCAAGGUGGUGAGAAAAUGCAUUCUCAUUAUCUCCCACUUCCUUAUACAUCAGAAAGACAAAAUUGGUUAUUUUAAUUGCAAUUUAGAAAUUUUUUAAAAAUUAUUUUAAAGUCAGUAACAAGCUUAAUUAUAAAGAUAUUCCUGGAGUUCCUACUGUGGUGCAGCAGAAACCAAUCUGGCUAGUGUCAGUGAGGAGGCAGGUUCGAUCCCUGGCCUCGCUCAGUGGGUUAGGGGUCUAGCAUUGCCGUGAGCUGUGGUGUAGGUCACAGACGCAGCUCCGAUCCCAUGUUGCUGUGGCUGUGGUGUAGGCCAGAAGCUCCAGCUCCAGUUCAACCACUACCCUGGGGAAUGUCCAUAUGCCACGGAUAUGGCCUUAAAAAAAAAAAAAAAAGAAGAUUUUCUGCGAAGGGACUGGGAUUAACUCUAGUUUACCAACCCCUUUUUUGUAGGGAGCCAGAAAUGGAAUCAUGUAGAAUAUCCACUCCAUUCCACCAUCAAAACCUUGCUUCUCUUUAUGAGGAAACAGGCCCACAGAGGGAAGAGCUCUGUCAUUUUCGGUAAAACACUUCAAGGCGGAGAUGCAUUCAGAGCAUCGCACAGGGCUGCCCAGAAGCGAAUUCCAUGUGAUGUGAGUGAAAAAAGCAUCAAAUGCCACGUGACAGUCACUGCUUGAAGGGUUACAUUAGUAUUAAAACUGGGUUUAAAAAAUUCUAAAGGGACCAACGGGCCAGCCACUGAAAGACCUGCAUAUGACCUCUCAUUUUCUUCUCUGUCUCUUAAGGAGAUAAUGUGGCUAUCAGAGCAAUAAGUACAGACAGUUGUCCAUCACACUUAAAACAUUACAUAUUAUGCAGGCAUCAGGAGCAGAAGGCUAAGAACAGCCACUGUGGGGAGCACCUUAGGAGUCAGUGAGGGAAUGAUGGGACGAAUGAAAGGGAUCAAGGGGGAGAAGUUCCAGUUACCCAUAAACAGAGACUAGAAAGGUAGAAUCAGCAGGCCAUCAGAGGGCGUGGGAUUGAAGGGUAGUGUUAAAGUGUUACAUGUGUUAUUGUUACCGCUGACUUGGGGUACAGCAUAGGAGGGUAAAUAAAAUCAGGAGGGCAUGGUGGAGAAUAGGUGUUAGGGAUCCGGGCGUCUGACACAGAUAUAUAUAGACCUAGACUGUGUUAUACUGGAAAAUGGUUAGCACCUGGCUCUCCUAGGAGGGCAGGGAAGUCCUCACUGGUGGCAUUUGCUUAUUUGUGUGGUAUAAAUAUUCCCCCUAUGACUGGUUUCAGGCUUCAACGUGAAGUUACUAAAGAGGGAGUUGGAAAGAGGUGUCCUCAACUGGUCCCCAGCCAAGGUUAAAGGCAGGAAGGUGCAGUCUACAAAAUCCAAGAAAACUUAAGACCAAAAGCUGAAGUCCAGAGCAGUUGUGCUAAGGUGGCCCAAGGAAUGACUCUAGAGGUCAUGACCCUGAAGAGGUGGAAGCAGAGAUUAGAAAGGACCCCUAGGAGUUCCCGUCGUGGCUCAGUGGUUAACGAAUCCAACUAGGAACCAUGAGGUUGUGGGUUCGAUCCCUGGGCUUGC